rnacentral:rRNA from 1 species
GACAGAGGUGCCAAGCGUUAGGCGGAAUCACUGGGCUUAAAGCGUGUGUAGGCGGGCGAUCAAGUCCCUUGUGAAAUCCCACGGCUCAACCGUGGAACUGCUGGGUAUACUGGUUGUCUUGAGCCAGCUAGGGGCGAGCGGAACAGACGGUGGAGCGGUGAAAUGCGUAGAUAUCGGGAGGAACACCUGUGGCGAAAGCGGCUCACUGGACCGCAACUGACGCUGAGGCGCGAAAGCUAGGGGAGCAAACAGG